UCUAGAGACCUGAGAUUAGGGGACACCGGCUUUGCGUGGUUGUACUAAUUUGUGGGUUAACAAAGCGUGGAGUGGUGGUGUCGCUGAAGUUGAUGGUGGGUUUAAAAUCGAUGGCGACAAUGAUGGAAUCCCUUGGAAAACAAAAACCAGUGGGAUUUUGAACUUUUAAGGAAGCACUGCCCAUUUUUAAAGUCAGAAAGGAGCAUAUAAGUUUACAACAGUUAAGUAAAUAUUUACAAAAUUAUUUACCAUUUAUGCAGGCAGACCAUGAAUAUAUAACAUACUUAUGUU